GAUGAACGCUGGCGGCGUGCCUAAUACAUGCAAGUCGAGCGAGCGGAACUGAAGCUUUCUUCUCUGAUAUUAGCGUCGGACGGGUGAGUAACACUUGGAUAACCUACCUAUAAGACUCUGCUAACUUCUGUAAACCGGCGCUAAUACCGGAUAAUAUUUUCAACCUCAUGGUUCAAAACUGAAAGACAGUCUUGCUGUCACUUAUUGAUGUAUCCGCGCUGCAUUAGCUAGUUGGUAAGGUAAAGGCUUACCAAGGCAACGAUGCAUAGCCGACCUGAGAGGGUGAUCGGCCACACUGGAACUGAGACACGGUCCAAACUCCUACGGGAGGCAGCAGUAGGGAAUCUUCCGCAAUGGGCGAAAGCCUGACGGAGCAACGCCGCGUGAGUGAAGAAGGUUUUCGGAUCGUAAAACUCUGUUAUUAGGGAAGAACAUAUGUGUAAGUAACUGUGCACAACUUGACGGUACCUAACCAGAAAGCCACGGCUAACUACGUG
rnacentral:rRNA from 1 species